rnacentral:rRNA from 1 species
UACGUAGGGGGCAAGCGUUGUCCGGAUUCAUUGGGCGUAAAGCGCGUGUAGGCGGCCUUGUAAGUCCGUUCUGAAAGCCCGGGGCUCAACCCCGGGAGGCGGAUGGAUACUGCAAGGCUCGAGUACGGAAGAGGCGAGUGGAAUUCCCGGUGUAGCGGUGAAAUGCGCAGAUAUCGGGAGGAACACCAAUGGCGAAGGCAGCUCGCUGGGACGUUACUGACGCUGAGACGCGAAAGCGUGGGGAGCAAACAGG